ACACGUGGAUAACCUACCUAUAAGACUGGGAUAACUUCGGGAAACCGGAGCUAAUACCGGAUAAUAUUUUGAACCGCAUGGUUCAAAAGUGAAAGACGGUCUUGCUGUCACUUAUAGAUGGAUCCGCGCUGCAUUAGCUAGUUGGUAAGGUAACGGCUUACCAAGGCAACGAUGCAUAGCCGACCUGAGAGGGUGAUCGGCCACACUGGAACUGAGACACGGUCCAGACUCCUACGGGAGGCAGCAGUAGGGAAUCUUCCGCAAUGGGCGAAAGCCUGACGGAGCAACGCCGCGUGAGUGAUGAAGGUCUUCGGAUCGUAAAACUCUGUUAUUAGGGAAGAA
rnacentral:rRNA from 1 species